CGUUGUCCGGAAUUAUUGGGCGUAAAGCGCGCGCAGGCGGUCCUUUAAGUCUGANGUGAAAGCCCUCGGCUCAACCGAGGAGGGUCAUUGGAAACUGGAGGACUUGAGUGCNNAAUACGAAAGUGGAAUUCCAAGUGUACCGGUGAAAUGCGUNCAGAUUUGGAGGAACACCAGUGGCGAAGGCGACUUUCUGGUCUGUAUCUGACGCUGAGGCGCGAAAGCGUGGGGAGCAAACAGGAUUAGAUACCCUGGUUUUCCCCGCCGUAAACAAUUAAGUGCUAAGUGUUNUGGGGUUUCCGCCCCUUANUGCUGCAGCUAACGCAUUAUNCUCUCCGCCUGGGGAGUACUGUCGCCAGACUGACACUCCCAUGAAUUGACUGGGGCCCGCACAANCGGUGGAGCAUGUGGUUUAAUUCCAACCAACNCGAAAAAACUU
rnacentral:rRNA from 1 species